UACGGGGGGGAGCAAGCGUUGUUCGGAUUUACUGGGCGUAAAGGGCGCGUAGGCGGCGCAACAAGUCACUUGUGAAAUCUCCGGGCUUAACCCGGAGCGGUCAAGUGAUACUGAUCUGCUAGAGUGCGGAAGGGGCAAUCGGAAUUCUUGGUGUAGCGGUGAAAUGCGUAGAUAUCGAGAGGGAACACCUGCGGCGAAGGCGGGUUGCUGGGCCGACACUGACGGCUGAGGCGCGAAAGCCCAGGGGAGCAAA
rnacentral:rRNA from 1 species